UACGAGGUCUUUCCAAAGUUCCACUAGUUCGAGAACACUCGCUACGGAUUCAGGAAGAAGUAAGCAUAAGAAUCGCUCGUCCGAAAAGCUUUACAGAUAGUUCGACCCGAGGACCUCACUAUACUCUGCAGCGACACCUCCCCGCUUGCCUAUUUUGGGUAAGGUAAUCUCUCCCUAGCUUUCCUAAUUACUUGGCCAAGGGCGUCCUAUUCCACCCUUGUGGUAGCACUGUUUUCCUGGGUAGUUCUCCAUGUUCUAGUUAAUACAAUAAUCUUAUCAUGAACAAUAAUUAAACAAGCAGUAUUAAUGGAACAUGAUCAUAUAUAACAUUAAUUCCGAAAUUCAGGUAGAGCAAUAGCAAAUCUACCCAAUAGUUCAUUUGUUUGUAAGGUGUGGGGUAAACAAAACUAGAUAAACCUAUUAGGUCUCAUCAAAUUAAUCUGAGCAUGUCACAGUGAUUAACAAGAACAUUAUUACGUAAAGAAGAGUGAUCAAGUGCACAACUUGCCUUAUACUUGCGAUAAUAUGUUGUCCAAAUGCUGACCCAAAAGUUGGGCUUCUAAUUCCUCGUCAUCUCGCCUCUACUCGUAGCAAUACAUACAAUCAAGCAAAUAAUGGAUAUGGUAACAUUACACCUAAGCAUAUGAACAAAGAGCGUAAGAAUAUCCUACGCGUCGCUAUGAGAUCGUUGGUUUAAGAACCAUUAAAAUCGGAGCUAAAACGAAGAAUUUAUGGAUAAAAUGAUAUUUUAGGCGCAAUAAAUCUAAUAGAUGGGAUCAAACAGAUAUUAUAUUUAAACUAAGAAGGUAUUUGUUGGGCCGAAGGCAAACACGCCACACUUCGCUCGUCGACUUCGUCCUCGCCUUGCGGAGACGAAGGCUGAAUCCACAACCCGCUAGAACAAGCUAAAGGCGUCGGCCGUGGCGGAGGCCUGCUCGACCCCCUUCGCUCUCACAAGACAAGACGAAGGCCCUACCGAAGUCUAUGGACCUUCCGCUCCCUCACCACCGAGGGAGGCCCAUGUGCGAUUCGGCCCAUAGAGAUGGGCCCCGCGUGGACAUGUGUGGUUAGUGUCGUGUCUAUAAUAAAGUUUACUGUAAUGACUGUCUGUAAGACUGUAACCUCCCCUCGUGGGAAUAUUCUGAGGAUAAACCAGGUACUCGAGGGUCUAAAUGUCUUUGACAGGGGGAGGCGGCCCCUCGAGUACCUAUAAAUACCUCCGUAUUGUGCCCAGGCACGGGGAGAAUAACGAAGCUUUUGCCAUUCCGUGUUAAGCUUUGCAAACUCUCUUUCUACUUUUCCGUUGGAUCAACUUGCCAUGGAGAGCAGGUUCCAACAGUAUUAAAUUAAAAUAUUUGAGUUGGUAUUAAUCAUUAACAAAUUUUUAUAAAAUGCGUAGGUUAGAACUAUAAAUUAGAUUAACUAGAUUAUCUAGCUAAUUAACAUUGAUUAAUUAAUUAAUUAAAACAUGUGGCAUAAUUAAAACAAUGUUAUUACUACGUACGUAAAAAUUAAUAUGAAUCUAACACAACUGGAACAAAUUAAAAAAAUUAUUUGACCUAGAAGAUAUCACAUGUUUAAUAAAUUAGGGUUGCACAGAAAUAGGUGACACGAUGGUGGGAACGAUUUGUUUACAAAUGCAUGACCUAGUUGUUGCCAACUUAUCAUGGUUGUACCUACUAUUAAAUCUGUGUUGUAUAGCAAUCUUGCAUAUAAAAAGGUAUGUGGUGGUGGUUAUUUAUUAGGUGGGAAGUGUCAAGCCUAUUAUAUGGGAAAGACUCGUAACCUACCACUAACUUACCUUCCAAUCAAGCUCUUCACUCACUUGUUGUUCAUGGUCAUCUCGGUUUUUGAUUAUGAUCCGAUCGACAAACCGGAAGCGCGGUAACGAAGCUCUCGCGAGCUAGUCAUGGCAAUGUUCUGGGCUGCCUCGGAAGAUGAAUGGACGGUGAGUAAUUACUCGUCGAAGUUGUCCCUAUACCAGUUUUACACUCUGUAGAGGUUGUGUUACUCAUUUGCCAAGGGAUCAUGACUUCUCAUUCAUCUAUAUCGAGGAGACGAGGCAGGGCAGCACUACGUGGCCUUUCCGAAGUUCCACUAGUUCGAGAAAACCCGCUACGGAUUCAGGAAGAAGGAAGCAUAGGAAUCCCUCGUCCCAAAAGCUUUACAGACAGUUCGACCCAAGGACCUCCCUAUACUCUGCAGCGACGCCUCCCCGCUUGUCCCUUUCGGGUAAGGUGAUCUCUCCCUAGCUUUCCUAAUUAUUUGGCCAAGGGCGUCCCAUUCCACCCUUGUGGUAGCACUGUUUUUCUGGGUGGUUCUCCAUGUUCCAAUUCAUACAAUAAUCUUAUCAUGAACAAUAAUUAAACCAGCAAUAUUAAUGGAACUUGAUCAUAUAUAACAUUAAUUACCAAAACCAGGUAGAGAAAUAGUAAAUCUACCUAAUAGUUCAUUUAUUUGCAAGGGGUGGGGUAAACAAAACUAGGGAACCUAUUAGGUCCCAUCAAAUUAACUUGAGCAUGUCACAGUCAUUAACAAAAAUAUUAUUAGGUAAAGAAGAGUGAUUAAGGGCAUAACUUGCCUUAUACUUACGAUAACUUGUUGUCCAAAUGCUGACCCAAAAGUUGGGCUUUUAAUUCUUCGUCACCUCGUCUCAACUCAUAGCAAUACAUACAAUCAAGCAAAUAAUAGAUAUGGUAACAUUACACCAAAGCAUACGAACAAACAGCGUAAAAAUAUCCUACGCGUCGCUAUGAGAUCGUAGGUUUGAGAACCAUUAAAAUCGAAGCUAAAACGAAGAAUUUAUUGAUAAAACGAUAUUUUAGGUGCAAUAAAUCUAAUAGAUGGGAUCUAACAGAUAUUGCAUUUAAACUAAGAAGGUAUUAAAUUAAAAUAUUAGAGUUGGUAUUAAUCAUUAACAUUUUUUAAUAAAAUGCAUAGGUUAGAACUAUAAAUUAGACUAACUAGAUUAUCUAGCUAAUUAACAUUAAUUAAUUAAUUAAAACAUGUGGCAUAAUUAAAACAAUGUUAUUACUAUGUACGCAAAAAUUAAUAUGAACCUAACACAACUCGAGCAAAUUAAAACAAAAUAUUUGACUUAGAAGAUAUCACAUGUUUAAUAAAUUAGGGUUGCACAGAAAUAGGUGACAUGACGGUAGGUACGGUUUGUUUACAAAUGCAUGACCUAGCUGUUGCCAACUUAUCAUGGUUGUACCUAUUGUUAAAUUUCUAUUGUAUAGCAGUCUUGCAUGUAAAAAGGUAUGUGGUGGUGGUUAUUUAUUAGGUGGGAAGUGUCAAGCCUAUCAUAUGGGAAAGAUCCCUAACCUACCACUAACUUACCUUCUAAUCAAGCUCUUCACUCCUUCGUUGUUGCUGGUCAUCUCUGUUUUUGAUUAUGAACCGGAGAUCCGACCGACGAACUGGAAGCACGGUGACGAAACUCUCGCGAGCUGGUCACGACGAUGUUGUGGGCUGCCCCGUAAGAUGAACGAACAGUGAGUAAUUACUCGUCGAAGUUGUCGCUAGAGUUGGGGAGGAACUCGAACUUCGACGAGAUGGUCAUAGCGGCUUAUGGCUGCAAGCUUAGCUAGCGGCGGGCUACUGUGGUUUGGAUGGCGGUAGUGCUGCUGCGAGGCUAUAGAGGAGAUGAGUCUAUAAUUUAUGGCUUAAGGUGUUAUGGUGGCAUGUAUUUAUAUAGGCUAGGAGGUGGGUGGUUAUAUGAUAGAUCUAAUCUCAUACUUAUAUUACAAUUCUAUCCUAUCUGUUAGGAACUCUAACAAACUCGAAACCAAAUCCAUUGAACAUGCGAGGGACGAUCGUGUCAACGGGGCCCUACUCGAUAGUGAUGCAUUGGAUGAUGUCAUCGGUGAUAUUAUGAUGAUGCAGUCAUCCGGCUUGGGAAUAAUGAAAAGAAAAAAUCAAAAUGAAUGAGGGAGAGCACAUGGGCUUCACGUGGUGUUAUCCUCACAGCGCCAAGCAACGGGCCGCUUCCGAGACAAGGUGGGUGAUUAUUUUUUUCUUUCUUGAUUUUAAUUUUCUAAAUUCCUAUUUGGUUUCCUAUUUUUUUACGAAUUUUAAAUUUAAUUUUGAGUUAAAUUUUCAAAUUCUAGUGAAAUGCACAAUCACAAAUCCAGCAUUCCAUGUAAGUAUAAUUGUAUACAUAUUGUCGGCGUUUCGGACCCGCGAUGACCCUCAACCGACCAGUGAAUUUGAUGCUGCGUAUCCCUGCCCAGAUGGGUUGAUGCAAGAUGAAACACAAGAGGGAGGAUGAGGUUUAUAUUAUCUUGCACUGGGGUGCUCGUAGUAGGGGUUACAAGCGUCGCGAGAGAGAGAGAGGGAGGGUUCGGCCUUGAGGUGAGUUGUCUCAGUUAGCCUCCUCUGUGUCUCUCCCACUCUGCCUGCCUCCCUUAGGAAGGCCCUGGACAUCCCCUUUUAUAGAUACAAGUUGAUGGUCCAGCUGUACAAUGGGGCUGUAGCUAUGUGCUAACGUGGCCGGAGGAGAAGUACUUGAGCCCUGUAGAAGCGCAACUGGCGUUGCGACCCGGGGUCCUGCUGACGUUUCUUUGCUUUCGUAGAGAGUUGAGAACAACCGACGUCAUGGACGCACGCAGGGAACCAUCAUUACCUGUUACCGAAGUAAUCUAGAUGGGACACCGGUCUCGUUCCUUCAUAGCCAGAGGCAGCUAGCUAGGGGUAGGGUAAUGAUGUAUCCCCUGUAGCGUGGUCGGUCCGAGGCCGAGGUCAGGCGAGGCGGAGACUUCCCCUGAGGCCGAGGCUGAGGUUGGGCGAGGUUGUGACUCUUCCCGAGGCCGAGGCUGAGGCUCGAGGUCGGGCGAGGCGGAGACCUUCUCCCGAGGCCUGGGGUCGGGCGAGGCAGAGCUCCCUGUUGCGCCCGAGGCCGAACUCGGGGGAGGUCGUGACUUACUAUCGUUUAUUUUACCCUGGUGGUUGGCACAGUAGUCGGAACAGGGUGAAUAGUGCUGUUUUCCUGUCAGAACGAUCAGUAAAGGGGCGAAGUGACUGCGGUCAUUUCAACCUUGCUGACUGAGGCGCGUGUGUCAGGAUAAGGUGUCAGGCGAUCCCCACAUUAAAUGCGCAUGCGAUACGAUCGGUUGGUAAGGCGAUUUGGCCGAGGUUGCUGCACGACAAAGUUUGCCCGAGCUUGGCUUCGGGCGAGCCGAGGGUGCGCCCACUGCCUGAGGAGGCCCUCAGGUGAGGCGUGAAUCCGUCUGGGACUGUAGUUCUUGCCCGAGGCCGAGCUCGGGCGAGACGAGAUUGCGUCCCUUGGUAGACGAGGCCUUGACUCGAACCGUGCCUAUCAGUCUUUACAGUUUGUUCUGAAGAUGUUUUCCAGCCAUGUUAAGGAGUAUUGGGGGUACCAGUAAUUACGGUACCCGACAGUAGCCCCCGAGCCUCGAAGGGAGUGUAGGUACUCGCUUGGAGGUUCUGCCGAAUUUUUUGCAAGGGGACCAGCCUUUCUCGGUCAUAUUUUUGUUCUGAUGGGUGCGCACGAGCGCACUCGUCGGGUGUAGCCCCCGAGGCCUCGGAGGAGUGGUUUGACUCCUCUGAGGUCUUAAUUCUUUUUGUGGUGCCUCGGUCGGCCUUGUUGUUCCCUCAUGCGGACUAGCCGCAGCCUGGGUGCAUGGUCAGGCUCCGAGUUUUUAAGCUGGCUUGUCGACGUGGUCGACAAUUUGGCCGUAGCCUGGUGCGAGAGCAGCCUCCGAGCCUCUACACGGAGCAAGAGGACGAUCGAGGACUGUCUCGGCUUUUUAUUGUACGCCCCUUCGUCGCCUUUCUGCAAGGAGGAGGGGGGGAACGCGCCAUGUUACCCUCAGUGGGCACCGAACAUGGUGUUUCCAGUGAGUUGCUAGCGGGUAAUCCGAGUGGACGCCCGAGCCCCGUUCGAUAAGGGUCGGCUAGUGGCCCAGAGGCGCGUUCCAAAAGUACCUGCGGGUGAUUUGCUGGACCCGGACCCAUUUGAUAGGGUCCGAGGGCUUGGUGCCUCCCUCCGGUGGGAUUCCAUUACAAAUCGUUCCCGCCAGUCUCGGAAAUGUCCUAUGGUACCUCGGGAGCAUAGCCCGAGCCUCGGCCAUGUAACGGAUGUACCCAGGGUCAUCCCUGACUCUGCAUGCUCUGGGGCGGCUGUCGAACCCUUCCGAGGGGCCAACCUUCGAUCCCCUGAUCAGUAAAGGGCUCAGAGCCUGAGUGCUUUGAGGCGAUUGCCGAACCCCGCAGGGCGCAACCUUCGAACCCCUGAUCAGUAGGAGGGCUCGGGGCCCGUUUCCUUCAUUGAGAAGGACCCUUUCGAAAUAUCCCCUUUCCCGAUCCCUGUGGCACGAGAGAGAGGAGGGAAAAAGAAAACAGGAUAUAAAUUUAAACAACAUGGCGCACCUUUUUUGAGGCGAUCAUCAUGACAGAGACGAAACGGCGCCCGCUUCACCUGCCAGAGGUGUCGCGUGCCCUGCCAGGGAGUUAAUGCGACGGGACGGGCGAUUCGCGGGACAUCUGUUGCGCGUGCGCGAGUCGUUCGAGGAACAGAAAACCCGUUUUGCCUUCGAGUUUGAAUUUCACGAAGGGUUCGGGCGAAGCUUUGGGCACCCAACAGGCAUUCAUCCCUAAAUCCGAAAGGUGUUACGCAAAGUGGAAGAAGAUAUGAGUUCACUAGAGGUGCCCUUACCAGUAAUCGCGUAGCCGAAGCCCUUCUCUAUUUUCUCUCUUCUUGCAUCUCUCUCCUCCACGGCGGCUUGUUCGCCCACACGGUUCCGGCGACCGAGCACCCAAGGUGGCGGCGCGGAAGAACGCAGGGCUCAACUGGUGCAGGAGCAGGGCAGUCGCAGUGUCGAGCCGAAACAGGGGUUCUCCAGCUCUGUCCUGAUGGCCAUCAGAGACACUACUUCGUAGUUGAUGCCGGCAGGGGAGAGCGUGGCGCUCUCGGCAUUGAUGUUCCUCGGUAUGCACCCGGCGACUAGUCGAACGGACGCGGAGGGGUCACGGGGCUACGACCACGUAUUUAUAUUUGGGAUCAAGGGGUAGAGGAUGCUUAUCGGCCAUCCUCACGCUACGGUUUGUUACAACAAACCAGGCGAGAUCCUAGGAGUAGCAUCUGAGUUCUGCCGGCAACAAACGAUAAAAUGAAAUAAAAAAACUGUUGACCGCCACCAUGGUUUAUGAGCACGAUAUUCUCGUUGGCAUCAUCAGGGAGAAGCAACCACCAGCAAGGUGGGUCACGCAAGGGGUGGAAAUUGGAGAUGGGCUAGGCCAAUCCGACUAGCAGGUUAGUUUCUUUUUAUUUCUGUUUUUUUCUUUUUUUAUUUUCCUUUCUUUUCUAUUUUUUUAAAUUCAAAUCCUUGUCCUAAAUUCAAAUCUUGGUUUUAAGUCAAGAUGAUAUGUACAACAUAAAACUCCAAUAUGAAAAUACAAAGGUUUUAUUAUUAAAUAUAUAUAUCUCUACUACUUAUUAAGAUGGUAAGGGUAGUCUGCCGUUCUGUCAUUCUGCGAUCUCAACCAUCCAUUCUACCAUUCUAUAAUCUCAGUCGUUCGAUCCUACAUUUCAGUCCCGCUCCCUGAUCCCGCACAACAGUCCCGCUCCUAGAUCGCGCCCCAAAACUGUCGCCCCCGGCCUCCCCUCCCCUCCCCCGAUUCUGGCUGGCCACGAACUCCCCCCUGCUAUCCCUACCCCGAUUAUGCCACCGUCGUCCGAUCCCACCCGCAUACGCUGCUCCCCGCCUCGAGGCUCGUCGGAACGGAUGCCUGGAUGUCGCGGCUGCAACCCACCGCCGCACAGGGAGGCUGCGCCCACACUAAAAUGGAGCACAGGGAGGCUCCGCCACCUACAACCCAGAGGAUGUGCGGAGGCCGGAGGGCAUGGGGAAUUCGUGAUGAGGUCUAUGCAUCAACAUCUUCUUCAAGGUACACCGUCGCCAUCCCAAUCCCUACCCCCAGAUUGAGCCAGUACCCCUUCCUUCCUUCUCUGAAUCUCAUCCUCUGCUUCCUUCAUUCGAUGUCAUGCCAUCAGUGCACAAGCACCAGCACAAUGGUGGUGACCUUGCCCUUGCCACUGUCCGUGGUUAGUUGAGUGAGUGAGUAGGUUUGGUUCUCCAUCUCCCCAUUCCCUCCCUCCACACCCCCUGGCCCAGCGGCAACAUGGAGCCCGGUCGCAUCCCAUGGAGGGCCAGUCUCCAAUGGAUCCAUGGCUUGAAGGUGUCAUCACCUCUCGAGGAUCCAAGAUAUGAGGCACUAAAUCGGCGGAGAGGUCAGUGGCGCUAGAUCUGCCUGUUUCCAGCUCCCCUCUCGCGCUGGAUCCAUGGCUCUUCUCCCUCCCCUCUCUCCCUUCUCCUUCCCUGUAUGUCCGAGUGCAUGCUAACUUGGAACAGACUGUCAUGCAGAGGGUUCGAUAUUUGGUGCCGAGUGUGAGAAGUGUGGGAUGCUCAUUAGGGUGGCUGGGAACAACAUCAUGCUGUCACCCCUGCUCAUCAUGACUCUCCAAUGAAGUGGAAGAAGUAAGACCAUUUUACUGUCACUUUUGCCUUUCUGAUACAAUCAUCUAACCACCAUGGAACUGAUAGAAGCCCGACUGACCUCUUAGAUCUUAAGCAAAUUCGGCGAUGCUCUGAAGGCCACGGAGGAAUGGAUCGGAGAACUGAAGUCUAGGAAGAAUCACCCAAAGAGGCUGGUUGUAAUGACGGUGAGGAUGGUGAUGAAAGUGUCCAAUAUACAGUGCAUUUUCAAACUUUAUUUCAAUAAAGUGCUAGGCUGCGAAAGGGCCUCUGUCAUGUGUUAUCUGUACUCCAAUUUUUGUGCACGCCUAAUGCUCUGUAAACCACCAGUCCCUAGUUCUGCCUUGGAGGCGUAUGAAGCUAUAAUGACUAGGCACUAAUUGCUCGUUCCUUUUUUAAAACAGUCUGCUUUUGAACUGGUUGUUGUAAUUGUGGUUUCUCGCUCGCUCGGCAUAUGAAAUACAUUUCGGAUUGUGCAGACUGAUUAUAUGUUGCUAAGUGCAGGACAUAUAGGAAUUUUUCUGAGGGUGAAAUGGUGCCUUUUGGACCUAUAGCGCUGAGUCCAUCCUCUUGAGUCCUAAAUUAUGGAGAGAUUAGUAGGAUGACUAUUAAUCAUGGGACAACACUGUCCUCGAUGUGGUUAUGUUCUUCUAAUGUAAUGGCACUAACGUCUUAUCAGGAAAACAUCGGAAACAAUUCGGAAACAAUUUAUUUGGACAGGGACCUGGGUGGGUUUUCGGAUUGUGCAAACUGAUUAUAUGUUGCUAAGUGCAUGACAUAUGGGAAUUUUUUUGAGGGUGAAAUGGUGCCUUUUCGACCCUAAAUUAUGGAGAGAUUAGUAGGAUGUAUGGACUCUUUGUUUCAAUUAUGUGGUAAAUUAGAUUAGCUGAAAAUAGAGUACUUUUAAAGGCAUAAAUACUCCUAUUUCUGUACUUGAGAUCACAUUUAUCCUGAUAUAGGUUGCCAUUCAUGAUAUUUCUAGGUUGCACAUAUGUUCCAAGCGCUAGGACUGAAAGGAUGCCACUUGCUAUUUUGCUGAAUUAUAACCUAUGCUUAAUCUAGAUGAUUCUUCAUUAAGUGAAUAGGUAGCUGACCCACAUUCUUGCUGAAUUAUAACCUAUGCUUAAUCUUGGAUCCAAUCAACAAACAAAUAAGUGCCACAAGCAAACCCACCCUGAGAAUAACAGCAGUGAUUUUCUUUUGUUCCACAUUCUUGGUUUCCAAUGCAUGUUUCUCUUCUUUUGAUAUACCGUUUUCUUUUACCGAUGCAUCUCUAUCUUUAUAUGUGUCCAAAGCUCCAAAUUGAAAUGAUUUAGUGCUUGCACUGAAAAAGGAACAUUCUGUAUGCUAAUUCUCUAAAAUGUGUAUGGCUGAAAUCGAUAUAUUUGCAACAUAGGAAUGACCUUUUUUAACAAUUUGAUGGAGCAGAAUGGAGGAUAAUCUACCAGUUAAUGUCCUGGAAUAUCAAGAACUUGCUAAGAAAUUAAUUCUGAAAAAAGUCAUUACACGCUAAGAAAAAUAAUGUGCAAGCUACUGAAUUUGCAAUCAAGCAAGGGUGGUUGCAUACUGUCGAUAUUGGAUACUUUGAUGAGGGAGGUCAGCUUUUCGUAGUUGAUAGACUUAAAGAACUGAUUAAGUACAAAGGUUUUCAGGUAAAGAUUCUCAUUUUUUCGCAAACAAAUGUUUAGUUUCUGCAAACUUUUAUUUAUAAUUAUGUGGGUGGUGAAAAUUAGUAAUCUGAACAGUGCUUACUGAAAGGAGACUUUGUCCAGCCUCAUUUGGGUCCUUUCUGCAGCUAACGUUUGCAGUUCUACUAAGCAUUUAUAUUUAUACAAAAUAUUAUUCAGUAGAUUGAUAUUCUUUGCUUACUAUUUGAUCUAACUAUCAUAAAAUGGAUUAUCCUUCACAUAUGUUAUUUUACCUUUUGAAUCUUAUAUCAUUUGUUUUUUUUUCUUUAGUCGAAUUUCAUAUUUUUCUUCGGUAGAUUGCACCCGCCGAGCUUGAAGGGCUACUUCUGUCUCAUCCAGAAAUUAUUUGAACUCUAUGUUUUGUAGUGGGUCCAUGUGACGGCAAGUCUUGAACUAGAUUCAUUGUUUUGCUGGCCUGGCUAACUAACAAGUACAAGUCAGCAAUGCCAUCAAUUGGUUUAAAUAUAUAGCAGUCAUGAAACUCCUAGAGUCUCAAUCUUGUAUGGAGUUUCAAUUAAAGACUUGCAUCAGUUGACUCAUAAUUGGUUGGGUAUAGGUGCUUUAGUUCUACACCAUGUUUGGAAAAUUUUGAUGGCUUUCUUGCCCUCAAUUAAGAAAUUUAGUAGAUUGGGAAAUAUGAUAUUUUCUUUAGCAAUUUGAGAAAAUUCGAUUAGCUUAUUUGGAUUUGUAAAUAUUACCAUUUCCCCCGCGGAUCAAUGUUUUUUGAAACUAGAAUCAGAAUUAUCAAUUUGGGUCAAUGUGAACAGAAUAGUGUGCAUAGUACUAUUUGUCCAUACCGACGUCCUCGCCGAUGACACGGGAUGAAGUCCCCACAGAGCGGCUAGAGUCGAGGGUCGAGGAGCGGGAGGGAGGAAGGGUACUGGGCCCUAAAGGAGAAGUACCAAACUGGGCUGAACCCGCAGGAGAAGGUGAAGCUAGAGAAGGAGCCCAUGGGGCAGUUCGUGGAUGACGACAUCAGGGACCUGCCUAGAUCUCCAUGGAGGAGAUCGACGCUGCCAAGCUCACCAAGGACGACGUCGACGUCCGCCUCAAGUGGUUCGGCCUCUUCCACCGCUACAAGCACCAGUGUACGCCCACUAACUCUACACCCCCUGCAAUGGUGAUUUACUUGCUGCUCUUAAUGCAGUCGUUUGCGAUUCAGUUUUAGACGACCAUGUUCUUCAGUUCUUGGUGCACUAAUUCUACAAUGGUGUCUCUGAGAUCCAUUUUAUCAAUCUGGCCUGUGUUAGGAUAUUUGAUGGUACUACCAUCCCCAAUCAUUUGAAGUUUUGACAGAACAAUUUUUUUCAUGUAGCACGCUCCUGAUAAGCUGCCAGCCUUGCCUUUGCUUCACCGUGCAGCUGCUCGAUAACACUAUAUAUGUGCCUCUUGUAGGUUGUUGUUGCUGUUGGUAGGAGCGACCCCACGAGCGUGACACGGACAAAGUAGCCUUCGGUGCCAGGUUCGAUUUGGUUUCUGCUAAGUUUAUCACUCCUACAUUUUCGCAAUUAGUUUCUAUAAAUUAUAUCACUCCAUUUCACUCCUAUGAAAUUACUGCGACUUAAUUUCAAUCGAGGUCAUUCUUCUUGCUCCUUCGCUUUGCUUAGCAGUAAAGACAAUAACUUCAUUUACCUUGCUCAAUAGUUUGCCUUUUAAUUUGAACAAAAAUCUAAUCACCUGACAUUGCGUGGGAGGUAAGCUCCUGUUUUUCACAAACUUUAUCGGUGGACAGUUCACAGUCCUGACAGACCCAUUAAUCUGAUAGAACAGUUAGCAUUAGGUAAUUAUUUUGGCAUUGGCAAUUUUGAUCUACUCCUAUUUUAAAACGCCAUCAUAGGGGUGCUUGCAUUUCUUGUUCAUGGUUUUAUUGCUCAAGUAAAAAUGCCUGCUUUUUAUAUUACUUAUUACAUAUGCAUGGAAAAGCAUGUAGAAGGUAACACCAAUAAAGUUUGGAUCAUAUGUUUCCAUCUAUAAUUGUUGUCUUGGUAUUCUCAAUCAGUGGACUUGUGCAUCGGCAAAAUUUGCAGUCUCCAUAAGGAUGCUAAUGAUAGGUCCUCAACACAAGCCUUAUUGGUAAGCUGAAAAACAGCUUCACACCUUCAUUUCAUUUCAAUAAUCGUCUGCAAGACUAAACCACUUAUCUUAUCCUUCCCUUUCUGUUGUCUUCGAUGCAGGACCAUCCAUUCUUGAGCGUGUAUGAUGACCUGCAUGUAGAUAGGACGAGAUCUCCCCUCGCCACCUUCAAGUAAUGAUAAUGUACUUGUUCUUUUAAUCUUUUCUUUUUAUGUAUCCAUCGUUGUGCACAUAAGUGAUACAUUUUAUUUUACAGUUUCAGGCAACUCUAAUUUUUUGUCCUCCUUAUUAAGCGAAGGGUGUGGUGACGCAUUUCCCUUAUUGGGCAAGGGUUGGGUUGUGUAGUGAGCUGUAAUGAUUCACAAUUCACCUGAUAUCAUGAUCUAGAUGGUUUUCUGAAAUGUGCAUUGAGCCAUUAGGAAACACAAAUGGGGUGUAUUGAUAACAAAUCUUUUUAGUCACAAAGAUUUUUUUUCUUGGAACCAUUAAUAGUUGGCCAACAGCUACAAUGGUACAAGCGUUUGUUUUAAUAUGUUGUGAAUUGCAAUGGUUGCAAGUGCCUUUGUUUUUUGUUUUGCAAAAAGCAGACCACUUAUCUGGUCUCAAGGUUCUUCAUGGCCUUGACUCUCAAAGAUUAGAGUAUUCUUGUCAAUGGGGAUAUCAAUGAAGGUAAAGUUUCCACCCCCUAUCUUUUCUCUACCUACCCAUUUUCUCUAAAAUACAAUAAAACGCUUUUGAAUUAUUGAGUUUGAAGAAUUUUUGUAAUCUUCUCUUGUAGGCUUGCUUCGCCUUUGUCACAAGCUUCAUUGUGUAAGGAAAGAAUAUGCAUACACAUUUAAAAGCACAAGCUUAUCUUAUCAGUGUUCCGAGGUUACCAGGAUCUUGCAAGGUAGGGGCACCAUAGUUAGCAUGAGACCCACUGAACGAAUAUGCAUAACUACAUUUGCAUUAAACAGAAGAUUGGGCCAAAUGAGCUACAACAUAAGAUUUUAUUUGAUAGAAGGGUCUAAUGAAAACAUUGGACCAUGAGAGUGCAGAGGCAGGGCCAUUGCUACUGCAAGUCGCCCCUAAGCCUGGUACUAAGAGUUGUAGGAGGCAAUAAUUCAUAGUUAUCUUUGCCUACAUGCUAUUCUCUAAACACAAUAUUUACGAGCUUGAUAGGCCUGUUUUGGAAUACAAAUUAUGUGUCCGAUAGGUAAAUAAUUUAUGCAAUGAUUCUUAGACCUUUGGCUCUUACUGCUUCAAGGAUUAAUGUGUGACUGUUUAGCCUUCAUUCCAAGCGGUAUGCCACUAAUCUCAAAAAUUGCUUCUACGCAAUAUUUACUUGAUAAUUUAUAGAUUUGUUGUUCCUUAGAGAUAUUUUUUCAUGUAAUAGGUUAUAAGGUUGUUCAUGACAUAUAGAGGUUUGUUGGUCAUAACUUAUACUAUAUGAAGAUUAUGGGAGUCAGCCCUAAAUUCACAUUUUCUGCAAUCUACAGAUUCAUGUAAAAAAGUUCAAUCUACAACAGCAUUUCCUCAAAAUGUCUAACAGACUUGUUUUCUUCAGGCUAGGGACCCAGGGGCUACACAUCUUAUAACUGAAAAACACAUGAGCAGUAUGUUGUUAACACUUUUUUUUCUUGUUUGCGUUUUAUAGAUAGAGGUAUAUAAUAUGGAGACAAACAAUAUUUAAAUCAUUAGAGACCCAUGUAACAAAAAACAGAUUGUUUAACUAUUAUGCUCACUCAAUAUGGAGAUCCUCAAGUAUCUUAGAAUCAGUUGGGCAAACACAAAUUUACAGUCAUAGUUUUCUUUUAUGGUUUUUACAAAUACUUGGUUUGCACUAUUGAUGAAAACAUGGUAUUGUUUCAAGCCAACCUUGAGCAUUCAUCGGAGAAGUUUGAAAAUGUUACUAUCCUUUCUGCUCUUAGUAAAAUAGUUAUUGGACUGUUACAGAAUGAUCAAAUAUUGACCUAUGCUAAUCAAGAGUUGAACGAAAGAAGUGAAGAUUCUUCUGUGUGCAGACAACCAAAACUUUUCUUGAAUUGCCUCAAGAUUGUUAAUACAUUUGUUGACUUACACUUCUAAAUGGGAUACAUGUAUCUGUACCUCCUAAGUGCCCAUGAGGAUGACCCCUGUCUAGUUUAGUAAUCUAUAGGCUUUUUAUGAUAUGCAGGUUUAUGAGGUUGUCAAGUUUUCAUUUCAAUGCAAAUCCAGCUGGACAACACCAUGUCACAAAGCAGGUAUUUAAGCAGAUUUACAAAACCACAAACUUGUUAGAUGAUUUUAUUGGAAGUAAGGUGCUAUUAGGAGUUUACAUUUUAGUUUUUAACUUGGUUGUGCUUCAAGUUUUUUCUACUUUAUCUAAUUUUGUUGGGCAUCUCACAUAAAAGGAAGAUGUUAUUCUUUUCGAGGUUUGUGCCAUACUCAUAGUACAAAGUAAAAAUAUAGUUGUUCAUGUUUCUAAGGGCAUCAACUUCAUUUAGCAUGAGAUGCCUUCCCUGCUCCAUGAUAAUAGUUGCACACAUUAUUUUUACCUUCUGCUGAUCGACCGACACAAAAAAUUGUCUCUUGUAUCUAACUGCAUUGCUACUGUAUUUAUUUCAUUGGUUUCAGUGUGCUUCUAGCUACAGUUCAGUCUUGGCGUCAUCGAAUCAAUGAAACAUGAAGUUAGAAGCACAUUGAGAUCCAGUGGCUUGUGACCAGUGGCUUGUGACUCCUUGACCCUUUAGAGGAAGCGCGCUAGAGUCGUUGGCAAGAAGAAGAGGAUCGCCAAGAAGAAGUCUGAGGCUGCCGAGUAACAAAAGCUUCUUGCUCAGAGGCUGAAGGAACAGAGAGACCGUGAGAGCUUGGCCAAGAGGGGGUCCAAGCUUUCUGCCGCUUCCAAGGCUUCCGCUGCCACCUCUGCUUAAGAAUGUUCGAUGCUUUGAGAUGUUUCAAGACCUAUCUUGUUAGAGCUUAAAUACCUUAUGCUACUCUGAUUGUGUUGCAACUUGCAACUGCCCCUGUACUUGAUAGAUUUGUAUUAGAUGCUCAAGCUAUAGAGGGUAGGUUCCUAAUUAUGGCCAUGUGACUAUGUACUAAAUUAUAUAUCUGUUGCUAAUUUACAAUACAUACAAAAUAAGUUUACUCCGACCAUCUUGUAGAAAAACAAGUUAUAGUGACUAAGGAUGUUUGAAUUGCUCCUAUGUUACUUUUGAUAUUCAUGCUUGUAAUUCCAUUUACAAUGUGAAUAUUGUGUAUAGUAGCCAUAACAUGAUAAUAGAUUGUUAGGGUCACUCAUCAAAUAUUACUAUGUGUCGUCGCAACGUACGGGCACUCCACUAGGGUUUAGGGUUUUACCUGUUGUGCCCUGUUAGGGUCACUCAUCAAAUAUUACAAAGGGCAGGAUCCAUUUACAGUUGGAGCAGAUACGCAUGACGGGGGCACACAUGAAACCUCUGUGAUAUCACUGUUGUGCCCUAUCCCCGUGGACUGCCGGUCGUCGACGCGUCUACGGUUGGAAUGGACGGCUGGGAGAGCUCCCCCUCUUUUUUCUUCACUUUUAUUACGUUACCUUACUCUCCGGCUCUGAAUAGUUUAUUUCUCGUUUGUAGAGAAAUUAAAUCUGUAAACUAUAAUAACAUAUACCGAAUAAGUAUUACUGACACAAUCAUAAAAUAUUUUUUAUUUUUUAUAUUGAAAUAUAUCUGAAGACAAAAAUUUCUAAAAUGGCCAAGGAUCGGCUCGGAGAGUUCACGAUGAUCAGCUCGAGGAGCUCAUGAAGGAGGGGAUGCAUGCAGUCUUGGUUAAGGAUCGGCUCGGGGAGUUUGCGAUGGAUGUGUUUCGAAUUUUUGGGCUUUCCUAACCUUUGAUUUGGUUUGGUUGACAUUUCUUUGUUUGGUCAUCACUUUCCUGUUGAUCUAUUGACAUGCCAUAUUGGUAUAUAUUAUUCUUAUGACAGACAUUGAUUAUGGUGGAUAGUACUUUGAGUAGGUAUGUUCUUGCAUCUUUUUUCCUCAUGUUACAUGCAUGGGCUGUUGAAAAUAUAAGAUCACAGAAAAAUUGAAUUCGACGGCAGAAGUUCUUGUGUGCCAGCUGUUGUGUGCCACUUGUGUGGUGCAAGAAGCAACUGACUAUAUAAUAGCCACCCGCCCCUACGUCGGCCGGCCGUGCACGGCUCACACCUUCCCGGCCGCGCGCGCACUGGCUGCACUGUACGUCCUGCCGGUGGGCAACGACGUGCAUGCAACAUAUACAUGCUUCGAAACGAAGCAACUCGCCCAGCUCCCGCCACCAAACAAGCGAGCUAGGGCCAUUAAAAUCCUCCCGUCCCUGCCCGGCACGGGCCCACCUGGUAGCCGCUACGUGCACGCAACGUCCUAACUACUUUCAUGAGCACCUGGACCUGGCUGGAUCGCAUGCAAAUCCAUGCAUGGCUUGGCUUUUUGCCGCACCAGCCUAUGGUUCUCGAACAUGAUGUAUAUAGAGGAGUAGCACAUCUGGUGGUGCAAUGACCAGGUGUACUACCUCGCUGAUGAGCCAGGGAUGUACUUUGUUUGACAGCCUAGCCAAAAGUCAUCGAGACUCGCCAUAUCGCGCGCGUUCAACUACUAUAUCAAGGACUGUGUGUCAUCUCAGCGCCGAAGGUGAUGCAUAGGAAUACCGACAAUAUUGACCAGUUCGUCAUUCUCGCCACCGACGGGGUAGCUUUUGUGUUGGCCUGCCUUUAAUUCUCUUCGCAAACACAUACUUGACUUUUUGUUUAAGCAAGCACUUAUGGUGGUGUGUGCCUAAUGACUGACGAUGUACGAGGGAACAUCUUCCGAAAUGUGUGGAACGUGCUCUCCAACGAUGAGACUAUGCAAAUCAUGGCAUAUAUUGAAGUCUGAUGCUACUGAUGGUUGCAAUGUAGUGGUGAAACAGUUAGAUUAAAAGAACAAAAUUUAUGUAUGGCCAGGAUCACAAAUGGAUUAUAAAACAUUUUCUUAUAAAACUAUAACACAUAUUUUGUAUAUAAGUUAUUGUGGUAUUAUAUAUUCCCGUUGCAACGCACGGGCACACACCUAGUAUAUAUAUAUAUAUAUUCGUUCAACCAUAUGCUUCAAAACAUAAAGCUCAUAUUUUAUUUUCUUAAGAUAUUUCUUUGGAUGCGUACUCUAAAUUUCAUUACUUAUUUAUUUACGAAAACUCAAUAUAUAAUCUUUACCAUGAAUUUUAAUUCAUAUAUAUAUAUAUGUAAAGAGUGCUUUAAUUAUAUAGUUUAUAAAGGAAAUAAUUCAAAUGUCUUUCUACUAUUUAUUGUUCCAAGUUUUAGUUUUUUUAUCUAAGUUUUGAGUACCAAACUCUUACUAUUAUUUAUGUACUUUAGAGAGAUAUACUUCAUAAAGGAAUGAAAUCAUUAUUAGAAGUCAUUUUAUCUCAAAUCUUUUGAGCAUGAUUUAUAGAUUCCAAAAUAGGAUUUUGGUGUUACAAAUCCUACCCCCCUUAACAUUAAUCUCGUCCUCAAGAUUUGUAAGAAAAGGAAUAUAGGAAGAAUGGUUUGCAAUUUAGCUUUAAGUUUCUAAUUAGUUCAAAAAUCAAGAACUCUUUUUUUCAUUAGUGAGUGAUUAGGAGAGCAUGGGUAUAUAUGAGUAUAGCCACUUUAUUAUGCAGGAUAAAAGAUAUCUUUAAAGCAUUUAUAGGUUUGGGUAAGAAAGGGUAGGGCUAGGAAAGACUCUAUCCAAGAUUGUGAAUCCUGAUUCCUUUGAAGAUCUAUCUUGAAUCUUAUCCUUCCUUGAUUUGAUGAGGUCGAUCAUCUUCAAUCUUCGUUCUUGAAGUCUUUAUCCGAAUUAGGGGCAUGUAGUUAGGAUAACUUGUAGGUAAGGACAGAUGGUUAACAGGUUGGUGGCAUAAGAUAAGUGUAUUAUGGCAACAUCUAGGAUGGGAUGGAUGGUCACCAUGAAUAUGCUGGUAAGUUAUUUGUUCAUGGGUGGUUUGGUUUGAUGUACUAAUUUAAGUUAAAACAUGGCCAGCAGGGUAUAAUCUAUUUCACUAGUAUUAACUAGUCUGUUAAGUAAUUCACUUUAGAUUGGACCAUAUUAGAUUAGAUGGGAUCUAGAUUAGAUUGGUAUAACUAGAUUAGACUAGAUAAUAUCUAAUUACUUUGGAUUAGAUCAUGGUUGUUAUUCUAGAGUGGGAUAAAUAUGCUAAUUAGGGCAUGAUGAAUUCAUAAAGAUAAGGUAGAAUCUUUUGAGACAAGAUGGAUCUAUGGGUGUAGAAUACGAAUAUUUUAAGAUGAGAUGAAUAUUGUUAGGCAAGAUACUUUAAUGAGGGAUAAUCUAGUUUGUCUAGUUAUUUUUAUAAGUAUUUUUUAUGUCUAGAUAUAUAUGCAGAGGUAAUUGUGGACAUUGAUCCACAACCCAUCACACUCAAUCAAAGAUCCAAAUUAGACAAAUAUCAUAAGAACAAGCAUUCAAGCAUAUAGAUACAAAAAAAUAAUAGUUUUGUUUUUGUUCCUAAGAGUAGGUCUCCUAUUCCUAAAAGUCACUUUAAGCACAGGAUUUCAAAGUGUGAAUUCCAAGUUUGUCUUUAGAAGAAAAAAGGUAAGAGUAAUCAGAGUAAAGCGAAAAUAGAUGAGAAAAGAUCAAGAAGAGUUUAGAAAAGAUCAGAGUAGCAAAGGUAAGUAAGUAUUGGUUGUCCAGUUCUAUCUAGGUUUCGUCCUACAGUCAACAUUCCUCUGAUACCACUUCUGUCACACCCGGGUUUUUGGGGUCUUAAGCCCGGACGUGAACAUAAUCACCAGGUGUGCUGGGACCAAGUCUCACACAUAUGAUGAAUCAUGGCACAUGAUCGAAUGUCACAACUUUACUAUAUAAUAGGAGUUCUAUACAAAAUAAAUAAAUAAUUACAUUAUAAGGAGACAAUGGUCCAGCAACCCAAAGUUGACUGGGAGACGACGGCCUAGACCUCUCACGAACUCGCACAACAUCCUCCCUGCGCCUCAUCCUUCGGUACCUGCUCUUGACCUGUGUGGGGGGUGUGAGACAGCAAGAGUGAGCUCACAUACGUUCAUCGCUCAACAAGUUGUGGGGAAUAAUGUGCAUGAACUCGCCGAAGGUGGGAGCUCACGUGAAGUGUAAGGCUUACCAAAGAGGAUGGUUAGAGCUGAGCAUUGCUUUUAAAGUUGGUCAAAAUUUUAUUAGCAGUUACUAAGUAUAAGUAAAUACCAACCCAAUUAAGAAAAGUAAUAACAUCACCUGCGAUGCAAUGCAUAUGACAAAUUGAAUUUAGUUCCAUAAAUUAAUCAUGUGAGGGUCCGAGCUGCUCAUGACCAUGAGCACGACUAGUAUACCAGUUUUACACUCUGCAAAGGUUGCGCAUCUUUACCCACAAGUCAUGUUUCCCAUCUGCCAAGGGAUCGCGACUUCCCAUACACCUCUACCGAGGAGGCGAGGCAGGGCAAUACUACGAGGCCUUUACAAAGUUCCACUAGCUUCAGAAAACCCGCUACAGUUUUGUCGGCGUUUCGACCCGGGGGGUCCCUGGACCGACGAGUAAAUUGUUGCUGCGUGUCCCAGCCCAGAUGGGUCGGCGCGAGACGGAACACAAGGGGGAACAAUAAGGGGAACCAUGGCUCGUGUUGUCCUGCACCCAGGGCGGAUGCGCUUGCAGUAGGGGGUUACAAGCGUUCACGAGGGAGAGAGAGAGAGAGACUGUCCGUUAGCCCGUUCUCCCGCGCGGCCACCCUCUCGUAUGAGGGCCCUGGACCUUCCUUUUAUAGACGUAAGGAGAGGGCCCAGGUGUACAAUGGGGGGUGUAGCAGUGUGCUAACGUGUCCGGCAGAGAGGAGCCAGAGUCCUAUGUACAUGCCGACGUGGCUGUCGAAGAGGUGUUAGUGCCCUAUGCAUGUGGCGUCGUGGCCGUCGGAGGAGUACUUGAGCCCUGUAGAAGCACAGCUGUCGGGGCUGUUGGGACCUUGUUGACGUCUCCUUGCUUCCGUAGGGAGCUGAGAACCGCCGUCGUCAUAGGAGCAUGCGGGGUGACAUCAUUACUUGUUUUACCGGGGCGAGCCAGAUGGGACGCUGGUCUUGUUCCCCGUAGCCUGAGCUAGCUAGGGGUAGGGUAAUGAUGUACCCCCCUGCGACGUGGUCGGUCCGAGCCCAAGGUCGGGCGAGGCGGAGACUCCUCCGAGGUCGGGGCUGAGUCCGAGCCCUAGGGUCGGGCGAGGCGGAGACCAUCGUCCGAGGUCGAGGUUGAGUCCGAGCCCUGGGGUCGGGCGAGGCGGAGACCAUCGUCCGAGGUCGAGGUUGAGUCCGAGCCCUAGGGUCGGGCGAGGCGGAGACCGUCGUCCGAGGUCGAGGUUGAGUCCGAGCCCUGGGGUCGGGCGAGGUGGAGACCGUCGUCCGAGGUCGAGGUUGAGUCCGAGCCCUGGGGUCGGGCGAGGCGGAGACCGUCGUCCGAGGUCGAGGUUGAGUCCAAGCCCGGGGGUCGGGCGAGGCGGAUCUUCCUAUGGCGCCUGAGGCCGGACAUGGUGGCUGUCAGCCUCACCCUGGUGGGUGGCACAGCAGUCGGAGCACCGUAGGCGGCGCUGUUUUCCUGUCAGGUCAGUCAGUGGAGGGGCGAGGUGACAGUGGUCACUUCGGCCCUGUCGACUGAAGAAGGUGCGACAAGAUAAGGUGUCAGGCGAUCCUUGCAUUGAAUGCUCCUGUGAUUUGGUCGGUUGGCGAGGCAAUCUGGCCAAGGUUGCUUCACUGUGAAGCCUGCCCGAGCUGGGCCUCGGGCGAGUCGAUGGUGCGCCCGUUUCUUGAGGAGGCCCUCGGGCAAGGUGUGAAUCCACCUGGGUCUAUUGUUCCUGUCCGAGGCUGGGCUCGGGCGAGGCGAGAUCGUGUCGCUUGAGCGGAUGGAGCUUUGACCUGCAUUGCGCCCAUCAGUCCUUUGCAGCUUUGUGCUGAUGGUGUUUACCAGCCGAGUUUAGGAGUCUUAGGGGUACCCCUAAUUAGGGUCCCCGACAGUAGCCCCCGAGCCUCAAAGGGAGUGUUGGUACUCGCUUGGAGGCUUUGUCGCACUUUUUUGCAAGGGGACCGGCCUUUCUCGGUUACACUUUGUUCCGGUGGGUGCGCGCGAGCGCACCCAUCGGGUGUAGCCCCCGAGGCCUCAGAGGAGUGGUUUGACUCCUUCGACGUCUUAAUGCCUUUCGCGAUGCCUCGGCCGAUCUGGUUGUUCCCUCAUGCGAUCUGAUCGUAGUCCGGGUGCAUGGUCAGGUUCCGAAUCCUCGGGCUGGUAUGUUGACGCUGUCAACGGUUUGGCCGGAGCCGGGUUUGCGAGAGCAGCCCCCGAGCCUCUGCACAGGGCGAGAGGAUGGUCAAGGACUGACUCGGCUUUUUUCAUACGCCCCUUUGUCGCCUUUCCGCAAGGAGGAGGGGGGAAAGCGCCAUGUUGCCCUCGGAGGGCGCCGAACAUGGUGUCUCCAGUGAGUUGCUAACGGGUGAUCCGAGUGGACGCCCGUGCCCUGUUGGAUAAGGGUCGGCUAGUGGCCCAGAGGCGCGCUCCAAAAGUACCUGCAGGUGAUUUGCCAGACCCGGUCCAGUUUGAUAGGGUUCGAGGGCUCGAUGCCUCCCUCUGAUGGGAUUCCGUUACAGAAUCGCUCCUACUGGUCUCGGAAAUGUCCUAGGGUACCUCGGGAGCGUAGCCCGAGCGUCGGCCAUGUAUCGGACGUACCCAGAGUCAUCCCUCGCUCUGCGUGUUCUAAGGCGGCUGUCAAACCCUUCGGGGGGCCAGCCUUCGAACCCCUGAUCAGUAGUGGGCGCGGAGCCCGAGUGGCCUGAGGCGGCUGUUGAACCCUUCUGAGGGGCCAGCCUUCGAACCUCUGACCAGUAGUGAGCGUGGAGCCCGAGUGCUCUGGGGUGGCUGUCGAACCCUUCCGAGGGGCCAGCCUUCGAACCCCUGAUCAGUAGGAGGGCUCGGGGCCCGCUUCCUUCGCAGAGAAGGAUCCCUUUCGGAGUAUCCCCUUUCCCGGUCCCUGUAGCAAGAGAGAGAAAGGGGAAGAGGAAAAGGAUACGAAAUUGAACGAUGUGGCGCACCUUUUUUGACGCAGUCAUUAUGGCGGAGGUGAAGCGUCGCCCGCUUCGCCUGCCAAAGGUGUCGCCUGCCCUACCGUGGAGUUAAUGCGAUGGGACGAGUGGUUCGCGGGGCAGCCGUUGCGCGAGCCAUUCGAGGAACGGAACACGGGCGCGUUGUCUUCACGCCGUGGGAGAGGGCUCUCCUGCUGCCCCAGGAGGGGACGUGAGCCUGCAGACGAUUUGACCGCCGCUUCCGCUCGCCUGCUGCCGCCAUUACUGUCAGCCCACUUCUGGCCAUAUCGACCGUCGCGCCUUCUCCCGCGGCUGACUGACCCAUGACCGUCGUGCUUGGCUGGCACUGUUGGUCUAUGCGCAGGGUUGCCUCGAAUCGCGGCACCGGUUCCGCAGUCGAGAAGGCGCAGCAUUGGCGUAAGUAAAGGUGCAGUUUUUCGCACGCAGUAACCGGCACGCCGGUUACAUGACGUGUGGGCCCGAGACUCCAUGCUGGACGCGUCGAAGUCGAAAGGGUGCCUCCCCGUGGUGCGGUUGCAUGCCGCCUGCGUGGCGGUCCGCCCUUUCACCCGCUGGUUUAGGCGAAGAUGGAGGAGUGCUUGUAACCGCUGGGCGGUUACACGCUCCACGCGCGGUCGUACGCCGCGAGGGCGGUACUCGUGUUCUGGGACGGUCCCAUUCUCAUUUUCGUGGCGAGGACGGGAGUGAGGACCUGCCGGUGCGCUUUGGGGCGGCCGGCACUCGCUGGUGCGGUGUUGGUGGGCAGGUGGACGCCACCGUCGGGGCUGAGGUGGCCGGAGAAGGCUUCCCCGCCGACGAGACCGUCAGCGCCACCCGCGGACCGACCCCCGGCUCUUUGGCUUUAAUAUCUGGUUCUCGUCCCUCGAGUGGGGACACGAACGAGAGCCUUCUAGCAGUAGCAUCUGCCCUGGGACCAUCGCUGCUGCUGCAGAGGUCGCCGGCGAGUCACCCAGAGCUUGUCGUCCCGCAGGCCCUCCGAUGUGGAGGGUUGUUCAUACCAGCGGGAGUGGAACCGGAGUUCCGUUUGUAAUGGCAUCUUGGGUGCCGGUGUAUGUUCAUCGCGGCUGUCGGGGCCUGAACAUCUGUGUAUUUGGGCGUAAAGCCGUGUUUCUUCCUCAUUUCGAGCACCAGGUCUCGCCUGUCGGCUAGCUGAACCGCUUGACCAAGUGUGAGUUGCCCUGCGCGGAAGGUGACGAGUGAGGUAUCAGUAUCCUGGAGGCGUAGGAGUCCCUUGGCUCAGUCUGUAGUGUGUGUAUGUUUUUUUGCGGCCGCCGAGGCCCAAACAUGUCAUCGUCGUGUUAUAAAGCUGCGUUUCUUUUCCUCUUAUUUUGAGUAUCAGGACUUGUUUGUCGGUAGCAGAAUCGCUCAUCCGAGCGAGAGUUACUUAUCGCGGAAGGUGAUGAGUGAGGUAUCCGUAUCCCGGAGGCGUAGGAGUCCCUCGGCUCGGUCGGCCUUCGCCGCUUACGUGUACUCUUGCUCGUCUGCGGGAUUCUGUUAUCGAUAUAGUCGAGAAGGCACGAAAAAUCGUUUCGGCAGAAAAGUUUUCGAGCGUUAAGACUUGUUCGGUCAGCGGAAUCACUUAUCCGAGCGUGAGUUACUUAUCGCGGAAGGUGAUGAGUGAGGUAUAUGUAUCCCGGAGGCGUAGGAGUCCCUCCGCUCGGUCGGCCUUGUCGCUUACGUGUACUUCGUCGUUUUCAGGAUGUCACUAUUGAAGUAGUCAAAAAGCGCAAAAGAUGUUCCGGCAGAAAGACUUUUUCCGAGGAAAAUUUUGACGCAGAGGGGGUUCCCCCCUUCUAGCCCCCGAGGGAGGGUCGGGCUUUGCCGAGGCUAGGCUGACCCUUCCUUGAUGGUUAGACUUUAUUUGUGUAUGUAAACGAGGUAUAUGAACGACUUGAAAACAUCUUAAGGGCAGAAGCGAUAUAGUUGUCGGAUGUUCCAAGCGUUGUUGUAGACCUCGCCUUGACUAUUGGCCAACUUGUAUGUUCCAGGCUUCAAGAUCUUGGCGGUGAUGAACGGCCCUUCCCAGGGAGGAGUGAGCUUGUGACGCCCUCGGGCGUCUUGUCAUAGCCGAAGCACUAGGUCGCCCACCUAGAGGUCUCGGGACCGAACCCCUCGGGCGUGGUAGCGUCGCAGGGACUACUGAUACCGCGCCGAUUGUAGUAAGGACAUGUCCCGAGCCUCUUCCAGCUGGUCCAGUGAGUCUUCUCGGCUUGUCCGGUUGCUUCGGUCGUCGUACGCCCUCGUCCUUGGGGAAUCGUAUUCUAAGUCUGUGGGCAGGAUAGCCUCGGCCCCAUAGACUAGAAAAAACGGCGUGAAGCCCGUGGCUCGGCUUGGCGUCGUUCUCAGACUCUAGACCACCGAGGGGAGUUCCUUUAUCCAUCGCCUGCCGAACUUGUUGAGGUCGUUGUAGAUCCUCGGCUUGAGUCCCUGCAGAAUCAUAUCGUUGGCACGCUCUACCUGCCCAUUCGUCAUGGGGUGAGCUACGGCGGCCCAGUCCACCCGGAUGUGGUGGUCCUCGCAGAAGUCUAGGAACUUCCUGCUAGUGAACUGGGUGCCGUUGUCGGUGAUGAUGGAGUUUGGGACCCCAAAGCGAUGGAUGAUGUUGCUGAAGAAUGCCACCGCCUGUUCGGACCUGAUGCUGCUUAGGGGUCAGACCUCAAUCCACUUGGAGAAUUUGUCGAUAGCGACCAGCAGGUGCGUGAAGCCCCCGGGUGCCUUCUGCAAGGGACCGACGAGAUCCAGACCCCACACAGCAAACGGCCAGGUGAUGGGUAUUGUUUGCAGGGCCUGAGCGGGCAGGUGUGUCUGCCUUGCGUAGAACUGACACCCUUGGCAGGUGCGUACAAUCCUAGUGGUGUAGGCCACCGCGGUUGCCCAUUAGAAACCUUGUCGGAAGGCGUUUCCAACGAGGGCUCGAGGCGCUGCAUGGUGACCGCAAGCCCCCGAGUGUAUUUCUUGCAAUAGCUCCUGUCCUUCGGUGAUGGAUAUGCAUCGCUGGAGGAUGCCUGAGGGGUUGCGAUGGUAGAGCUCCUUCUCGUCACCCAGCAAGACGAACGACUUGGUGCGCCGCGCCAGUCGCCGAGCUUCGGCUCUAUCGAGGGGUAGCUCUCCUCGGUGGAGAUAUUGCAGGUACGGGGUCUGCUAGUUUCGAUUAGGCGGGACCCCAUUCCGCUCUUCCUCGACGCGUAAAGCCUCACCCUCGGGGGCCGAGGGUGCCUCGGGCUGAGCCGAGGGUGCCUCGGGCCGAGCUGAGGGCGCCUCGGGCAGGGCCGAGGCCUUCUCAGGCUCGGGAGAGUCGUCGGUCUUGACGGAGGGUUGAUGUAGGUCUCGGGAGAAGACGUCCGGGGGGACCGUUGUCCGCCCCGAGGCUAUUUUAGCCAGCUCGUUCGCAGUCUCGUUGUACCAUCGGGCGACGUGGUUGAGCUCGAGCCUGUAGAACUUGUCUUCCAGGCGCCGAACCUUGUCGCAGUAGGCUUCCAUCUUCGGGUCGCGGCAGUGGGAGUUCUUCAUGACUUGGUCGAUGACAAGCUGCGAGUCGCCACGAGCGUCGAGGCGCCGAACCCCUAGCUCGAUGGUGAUGUGCAACCUGUUAACCAGGGCCUCGUACUCAGCCACGUUGUUGGACGCCGGGAAAUGGAGGCGCAGCACGUAGCGGAGGUGCUUUCCGAGGGGUGAAAUGAAGAGCAGGCCCGCGCCCGCUUCUGUUUUCAUCAGCGACCCGUCGAAAAACAUGGUCCAGAGUUCUGGUUGGAUCGGAGCUGCUAGAAGCUGGGUGUCGACCCAUUCAGCCACGAAGUCCGCCAAGACUUGGGACUUGAUGGCCUUCCGAGGGGCGAACGAGAUUGUCUCGCCCAUGAUCUCCACCGCCCACUUUGCAAUCCUACCCGAGGCCUCUCGGCACUGGAUGAUCUCCCCCAGGGGGAAGGACGACACCACAGUCACCGGAUGAGACUCGAAGUAGUGUCGCAACUUUCGCCGCGUCAGAAUUACCGCGUACAGUAGCUUCUGAAUUUGCGGGUAGCGGAUUUUGGUCUUGGACAGUACCUCACUGAUGAAGUAGAUCGGCCUCUGGACGAGCAAUGCAUGCCCUUCUUCUCGUCUCUCGACCACGAUCGCGGCGCUGACCACCUGAGUGGUUGCGGCUACGUAGAUCAAGAGGGCUUCUCCGGCAACGGGGGGCACCAGGAUGGGCGCGCUGGUAAGGAGCGCCUUUAAGUUCCCGAGGGCUUCCUCGGCCUUGGGGGUCCAAGUGAAGCGCUCGGUCUUCCUUAAGAGGCGGUACAGGGGUAGGCCUCUUUCGCCGCGGCGCGAGAUGAAGCGGCUCAGAGCCGCAAGGCAUCCCAUGACCCUCUAUACUCCUUUCAAGUCCUUGAUGGGACCCAUGUUGGUGAUGGCCGCGUUUUUCUCUAGGUUGGCCUCGAUGCCCUACUCAGAGACGAUGAACCCCAGGAGCAUGCCUCGGGGGACUCCGAAGACGCACUUCUCGGGAUUGAGUUUUACGCCUUUCCCCUUGAGACACUUGAAUGUCGUUUCAAGGUCAGAGAGGAGGUCGGAGGCUUUCCUUGUCUUGACUACGAUGUCAUCGACGUAAGCCUCGACCGUUCGGCCAAUGUGCUCUCCGAACACGUGGUUCAUGCACCUUUGGUAUGUCGCGCCCGCAUUCCUCAAACUAAACGGUAUAGUAAUAUAGCAGUACAUGCCAAAAGGUGUGAUGAAAGAAGUCGCGAGCUGGUCGAACUCUUUCAUCCUGAUUUGGUGAUACCCUGAGUAGGCAUCGAGGAAUGACAGGGUCUCGCACCCAGCAGUGGAAUCCACGAUUUGAUCGAUGCGAGGCAGAGGGUAGGGAUCCUUCGGACAUGCUUUGUUUAGACCAGUGUAGUCUACACACAUCCUCCAUUUCCCACCUUUCUUUUUCACAAGCACAGGGUUGGCUAGCCAUUCGGGAUGGAAUACCUCUUUGAUGAACCCUGCAGCCAUCAACUUGUGGAUCUCCUCGCCUAUGGCUCUGCGAUUUUCUUCGUCGAAUCGGCGCAAAGGCUGCUUCACGGGUCGGGCUCCAGCUUGGAUAUCCAGCGAGUGCUCGGCAACAUCCCUCGGUAUGUCAGGCAUGUCCGAGGGACUCCACGCAAAAACCUCGGCGUUCACGGGAGAAAGUCGACGAGCACUGCUUCCUAUUUAGGGUCGAGCUCGGAGCCGAUCUGGACUUGCUUGGAGGCGUCGUUGCUGGGGUCGAGAGGGACGGACUUAACCGCCUCUGCUGGCUCGAAGUUGCCGGCAUGGUGCUUCGCAUCUGAUGACGGGAUCGACAACGAGCGGGUACUUCCCCGGGCUCGGCAUGCGGUCGGGGUGGUCGCCUUGGUCGAAGAUGAUGGGCUUGUCGGACCAGACCAAGUAGACUGGCGCCGCCACCUUCACCGAGCAGACCUCCCGGCGCUCCUGCUUGUGGUGCCAAGCGAGGCGUUCGCCACUUGCCCACCGUAGAUCAUGAAGCAGUCGUGGACCUCGGGGAUCUCUUCUGCCUUGUGGCCCUCCUUCUUGUCGUUGUCAUGGGCUUUGCCACCUUCCGCCGGGGGACCGGCCUUGUGGAAGUAGCGCCGAAGCAUGACGCACUCCUCAAGGGUGUGUUUGACGGGACCCUGAUGAUAGGGGCACGACUCCUUGAGCAUCUUGUCGAAUAGGUUGGCCCCUCUGAGAGGCUUCCGGGGGGUUCCUGUGUUCGGCGGUGGCGACAAGAUCUGCGUCGGCGGCGUCGCGUUUCGCUUGCGACUUCUUCUUGCCCUUCUUCUUCGCGCCGCGCUGAGCGGACGCCUCGGGGACGUCUUCUUGCUGGCGACCCUGAGGCUGCUUGUCCUUCCGGAAGAUGGCUUCGACCGCCUCCUGGCCAGAGGCGAACUUGGUGGCGAUGUCCAUCAGCUCGCUCGCCCUGGUGGGGGUCUUGCGACCCAGCUUGCUCACCAGGUCGCGGCAAGUGGUGCCGGCGAGGAACGCGUCGAUGACAUCUGAGUCGGUGAUGUUGGGCAGCUCGGUGCGCUGCUUCGAAAAUCGCCGGAUGUAGUCCCACAGGGACUCUCCCGACUGCUGGCGGCAGCCUCGGAGAUCCCAGGAGUUCCCAGGGCGCACGUAUGUGCCCUGGAAGUUUCUGGCGAAGGCUUUGACCAGGUCGUCCCAGUUGGAGAUCUACGCAGGAGGCAGAUGCUCCAGCCAGGCCCGGGCGGCGUCGGAGAGGAACAUGGGGAGGUUGCGGAUGAUGAGGUUGCCAUCGUCCGUUCCACCCAGCUGGCAGGCCAGCCGGUUGUCCGCGAGCCACAGUUCCGGCCUUGUUUCCCCCGAGUACUUGGUGAUGGUAGUCGGGGUUCGGAACCGGGUCGGGAACGGCGCCCGUCGUAUGGCCCGGCUGAAAGCAUGCGGACCGGGUGGUUCGGGCGAGGGGCUCCGAUCCUCCCCGCUGUCGUAGCGUUCCCCACGCCUGGGGUGGUAGCCUCGGUGCACCUUUUCGUCGAGGUGGGCUCGACGAUCGCGGCGGUGGUGCUCGUGGCCGAGGCGACCCGGGGCUGCGGGCGUUGCGUCCCGCGUGCGCCCGGUGUGGACCGAGGCUUCCCGCAUGAAACGGGAAGUCACAGCGCGAUGCUCCGGGGGGUACCCCUGCCUCCGAGAGGCAGAGCUUUCGGCCCGUCGGACCGCGGCAUCCUUCAGGAUAUUCUUGAGUUCUCCCUGGAUACGCCGCCCCUCGGUGGUGGAUGGCUCCGGCAUCGCUUGAAGUAGUAUUGCUACUGCAGCCAGGUUCUGGCCGACCCCACUAGAAGCCGGGGGCAGCCUUGCCCUGGCAUCGUCGGCGAUGCGAUGCUGGACGUCCUGGGCAGAUGACGCACUUCUCCGGCUGGUGCUCGGCCUGCCCACUCCUGCCCGAUGUUCUGCCGGAGCUGCACAAGUUGUCCUGCUUCCUCGUCGAGCAUGACCUGCAUCUCGCGGAUUUGCUCGAGCUGUGCGUCCCGACCCCCCGCGGGGAUUGGGACCACAACUAGCUCCCGAAGGAUGUCAACGCGAGGCACAGGCCUAGGGGGAUCGCCGUCCUCUGGCAUACCAAGGUGGUUGCCUUCGUCGAGACCCCCUAGAUCGACGUGGAAACAUUCGCGACUUGGGCCACAGUCCUCGUCGUCAAGGCUGUAGCUACCAUCGGAGCAAUCGGAGAGGCAGUAGUCACAUGCGGUCAUGAAGUCCCGCAUGGCACUGGGGUUAUCGAGCCCGGAGAAAUCCCAACCAUAGUCGGGCUCGUCAUCUUCCUCGGAACCCGGGGGCCCGUAGGUCGAGACGGCCGUCAGUCGGUCCCAGGUUGACCACAUGUGGUACCCCGGAAGGUUUGGAUAUGCCUUUAUGAAAGCGUCCACCGAAGCGGGGUCGCUUGGUGGAUCGAAGCUGAAUCUAAAAGGCACAGGGUGGAAAAUGGACGGUACCUCUUGAUCAAUGGAUGGUGACGAAGUCGUGUCGGGGACGGACUACACUGUUAUCUCAGGUACGAGGCUAACGCCCAGCAAGUCCUUCACGAGCGUGCUGGCAUCAUCCGUCCGCUUGGGGUUGGCGUGUUGCGGGGAAACGACGCCCGUCUUCGUCUCAGACGCGAGGUCGACGCCCGACGUGUGCCCCGCUGGGGCGCCGGCGUCAUCGACUCACUCGACAGCCGACGAGGUGCCGCCUCCUGCUUGGCCAUGGUUGCCCCGCCUCCUCCUCCCGCGGCGGGGAAGGUGACGGGACAGACCCGGAUGCUGCUCUUCCGCCACGCGGGGAAGACGUCGUCGAUUCCGCCGCCGGCGGGCGGGCUGACGGCCGCCAUUGUCGUUGUCGCGCGGCGGUGGGAGGAGUACCAUGUCGUAGCUGUCGUCGAGGGACAUGAACUCGAGACUCCCGAAAUGGAGCAUCGUCCCGGGCUGGAGAGAUUGCUGGAGACUACCCAUCUGGAGCUUGAUGGGAAGCUGUUCGUCAGCACGCAGCAGGCCCCUACCUGGCGCGCCAACUGUCGGCGUUUCAACCCCGGGGGGUCCCUGGACCGACGAGUAAAUUGUCGCUGCGUGUCCUAUCCCAGAUGGGUCGGUGCGAGACGGAACACAAGGGGGAACAAUAAGGGGAACCGCAGCUCGUGUUGUCCUGCGCCCAGGGCGGAUGCGCUUGCAGUAGGGGGUUACAAGCGUUCGCGAGGGAGAGAGAGAGAGAUUGUCCGUCAGCCCGUUCUCCCGCACGGCCACCCUCUCGUACGAGGGCCCUGGACCUUCUUUUUAUAGACGUAAGGAGAGGGCCCAGGUGUACAAUGGGGGGUGUAGCAGUGUGCUAACAUGUCCGGCAGAGAGGAGCCAGAGUCCUAUGUACAUGCCGACGUGGCUGUCGGAGAGGUGUUAGUGCCCUGUGCAUGUGGCGUCGUGGCCGUCGGAAGAGUACUUGAGCCCUGUAGAAGCACAGCUGUCGGGGCUGUCGGGACCUUGCUGACGUCUCCUUGCUUCUGUAGGGGGCUGAGAACCGCUGUCGUCAUAGGAGCAUGCGGGGUGCCAUCAUUACUUGUUUUACCGGGGCGAGCCAGAUGGGACGCCGGUCUUGUUCCCCGUAGCCUGAACUAGCUAGGGGUAGGAUAAUGAUGUAACCCCCUGCGACGUGGUCGGUCCGAGCCCAAGGUCGGGCGAGGCGGAGACUCCUCCAUGGUUGGGGCUGAGUUCGAGCCCUGGGGUCGGGCGAGGCGGAGACCGUCGUCCGAGGUCGAGGUUGAGUCCGAGCCCUGGGGUCGGGCGAGGCGGAGACCAUCGUCCGAGGUCGAGGUUGAGUCCGAGCCCUGGGGUCGGGCGAGGCAGAGACCGUCGUCCGAGGUCGAGGUUGAGUCCGAGCCCUGGGGUCGGGUGAGGCGGAGACCGUCGUCCGAGGUCGAGGUUGAGUCCGAGCCCUGGGGUCGGGCGAGGCGGAGACUGUCGUCCGAGGUCGAGGUUGAGUCCGAGCCCAGGGGUCGGGCGAGGCGGAGCUUCCUAUGGCGCCUGAGGCUAGACUUGGUGGCUGUCAGCCUCACCCUGGCGGGUGGCACAGCAGUCGGAGCAGCGCAGGCGGCGCUAUUUUCCUGUCACGUCAGUCAGUGGAGGGGCGAAGUGACGGCGAUCACUUCGGCCCUGUCGACUGAAGAACGUGCGACAGGAUAAGGUGUCAGGCGAUCCUUGCAUUGAAUGCUCCUGCGAUUUGGUCGGUUGGCGAGGCGAUCUGGCCAAGGCUGCUUCACUACGAAGCCUGCCCGAGCUGGGCCUCGGGCGAGUCGAAGGUGCGCCCGUUGCUUGAGGAGGCCCUCGGGCGAGGCGUGAAUUCACCUGGGUCUACUGUUCCUGUCCGAGGCUGGGCUCGGGUGAGGCGAGAUCGUGCCCCUUGAGCGGAUGGAGCUUUGACCUGCAUUGCGCCCAUCAGGCCUUUGCAGCUUUGUGCUGAUGGUGUUUACCAGCCGAGUUUAGGAGUCUUGGGGGUACCCCUAAUUAGGGUCCCCGACAAGUUUAUAGGAAGCUCCAAUGCAGGGACCCCUUGCCUGACCGCCAUCGCAGCAAAAUCAACCAAGGACCUCCCAACACUGACCACUCCCCUAUUGCCCUUGCCCCUUUCGGGUAAGGUAGUCCUCCACUAGCUUUCCUAAUUAAUCAGCCAAGGGCGUCCAUAAACCCUUGUGGUAGCACUGUUUUCCCGGGUGGUCGCUCCAUGUUCCAAUUAACAUAAUGAUCUUAUCAUGAACAGUAAAUAACAACGGAUAACAAAAGUAUAAUCAUGAAUAAUGUGUAUCUCAAUGCCCAAAACCACAUAUAGCACUAGCAAGUACUACCCAAAAAGUUCAGUGGUAAACAAGGCAUAAAGAUAGACAAACUAGGGUAACCUAUUAGGUCCCAUCAAAAUUAACCUAUGCAGAUCAUUAUGAUUAAUUAGAACAAGUGAUCAAGGGCACAACUUGCCUGGGACUUGAUAUUCCAGGUACCAACUUGCUCUUCAGAUGACACGUGUCCUCACCGCUAAACGUAGCAAUACAGACAAACAUGUAUAGGCAAAAUUAACAUCAUACCAAACAUAACAAUAAAUUGCGCAAUAAUAACCUAUGCGCCGCUAUGAGAUCGUGGGAACAAGAAUCACUAAAUUUGGAGUUAUAGUUAUUUAGUUAUGAAUUUCUGAAGUUAUUAAGCACCUAGAACAUAUUAAUUCGAAUGAACAAUUUUAAUUCAAGUUUCAUGGCUAAACAAUGUUACAAGUGGAUAGACAAUAUUAAUACCAAAUUAUUGCAACUUGAAUGACUCAAUUUGAAGUUAAAAUGAAUUAACUAUGAAUUUCGCAAGUUUCUAGAAUUAUUUUUGUAUUAGAAAUCAAUUUCUGUAAUUAAUUAUCCAUUUUUAUUGUUCUCUGGACCGAACACCAAUUACAGAGAAAAACGGGGGCGGAAACAGAAGUUUUACCCAGACUCAGACAAAUCAUGUGAUGGACUGCGGGUUGAUUUGGAAUAAGACGAGGGGUUCUUUUGAAUAAUUUAGCACCCGAAAGGGUAAUUUCAAUCCUGAGCCAUCCGAUCAAACUCGCACGACCCAGAUUAGAUCGAGUACCCUUCCGAACCGGUACUCACUGGUGAUCGUGAGAUGGGCGAUCGAUGGUGGAGAUUUUAAACAACGCUGCCAGCCGCACGACCGAACGAUCCAGGAUCGACGGCCCACGCACGAAGGGUAUAACGUUUAUAAUCACAGCCGCCAACCGCGAGAUCUACGGUCUGGAUCCCACCCCAUCAAAGCGGUAUGUUUCUCAGAAUCCUGGUCGUUAAGUAUCUGAUCGACGGCUGAGCGCCCUUCUUCUACCUAACGCUGGGCACGACGGAGUCCUGGCCUGACCGGCGGCAAACACGCCGGUGAACAGCCAUCCCGCCCAACAGGCAUUCAUCCCUAAAUCCGAAAGGUGUUACGCAAAGUGGAAGAAGAUAUGAGUUCACUAGAGGUGCCCUUACCAGCAAUCGUGUAGCCGAAGCCUUGCUCUAUUUUCUCUCUUCUUGCAUCUCUCUCCUCCACGGUGGCUUGUUCGCCCACACGGUUCCGGCGACCGAGCACCCAAGGUGGCGGCGCGGAAGAACGUAGGGCUCAACUAGCGCAGGAGCAGGGCAAUCGCAGCGUCGAGCCGGAACAGGGGUUCUCCAGCUCUGCCCUGAUGGCCAUCAGAGACACUACUUCGUAGUUGAUGCCGGCAGGGGAGAGGGUGGCGCUCUCGGCGUUGAUGUUCCUCGGUAUGCACCCGGCGACUAGUCGAAUGGACGCGGAGGGGUCACGGGGCUACGACCACGUAUUUAUAUUUGGGAUCAAGGGGCAGAGGAUGCUUAUCGGCCAUCCUCACGCUACGGUUUGUUACAACAAACCAGGCGAGAU
rnacentral:lncRNA from 1 species